GUGGGGAAUAUUGGACAAUGGGCGCAAGCCUGAUCCAGCAAUGCCGCGUGUGUGAAGAAGGCCUGAGGGUUGUAAAGCACUUUCAAUCGCGAAGAAAAGCUUUCGGUUAAUACCCGAAAGUCUUGACGUUAACGAUACAAGAAGCACCGGCUAACUCCGUGCCAGCAGCCGCGGUAAUACGGAGGGUGCGAGCGUUAAUCGGAAUUACUGGGCGUAAAGCGUACGUAGGCGGCUUGGUCAGUCGGAUGUGAAAGCCCCGGGCUUAACCUGGGAAUUGCACUCGAUACUGCCAGACUAGAGUUUAGUAGAGGAAUGCGGAAUUCCGGGUGUAGCGGUGAAAUGCGUAGAUAUCCGGAGGAACAUCAGUGGCGAAGGCGGCAUUCUGGGCUAAAACUGACGCUGAGGUACGAAAGCGUGGGGAGCAAACAGG
rnacentral:rRNA from 1 species